ensembl:lncRNA
AGUGUGAUGACGAACCUAUGUUCAAGCUUGAGCGGGGAGUUCUUUGGCGUGAGUGAGCAGGAGUCUGCUGCUGUCCUUGAUUGGUGCUGAGAGGAUCACUGAGGCCAAAACCUACACCAAGGCAAUCAUUAAAAAGUCUGUAGUGGGAAUGGAUGAUCAAGUGAUGGUGUAUAUAGGAGUUAAGUUGGUUGCACAGUACUUCUGUAAUGCAGGGAACUGUACGAAUUACCCCAACACUGAGGGCCAGCUGAUAGAGCAAUCGGAGUAUUUGGUUCUGAUCAUGUGGAACAUCAAUCCAUUGGAUCGGUUUAAUGCAUUACACAAUGCAAAUCUGAUUUUACAGAACUUCACUCUUGAUGAAGUUCCCCUGACCUCCACAACACCUUCUCUGGAUGAACCAAACAGCCAAAGAGAUUCUCAGACAGGGCCACACUUUCGCUACUGUAAGGCACUUGCAGUAGCUUCAGGAGUUCUAGCUCUGGCAGUUCUUGUUCUAAUUGUGACCGUAUGUUGUGAAAGAGCUGGUCAAGAUGGAAGAUGGAAGGUCAUCGCAUUUUUCAGGAAGAGAUCUUAUGACUCAAAGCCAAACCAGCAUGACACAAAUUCCACAGAAAUGCAGUCCCUGGCAGCUCCAGUGUAGGUGUACAUAGGUCACUGGGCCCAGAAUGAUGCCCUUCCCUCCAUGGAAUCAGUGCAGUGGGCCCAAAUCUGCAUGGAGUGAAGAACAACACUGGUGUUUGGUCCUACAAUCAUGUGCAAUAGUUUACAAGUUUGACAUGACUGAUAUAUCAGGAUUAUUGUACUAUAACUUAUAGAUUACAUAUUUCUAUUUAUUUUAUUUAUGUACAAUUUAAAAUUAGCUUUAAAAGUAAAAUGGGGGGUUUUGUCUACCCUCAUUGUUUCUAAUGAAGGAUGCAAGUUUCAGUAUGCUAUGUGUACAAGUUCUGUCCUCCAUUUUGGAGCCAGUAUUUGUUAUUACUCUUAGGCCCUGAUUUGCUAAGACCUCAACUAAAGGUUAAUAAUUGGCUUGCACAAUUUAACUAAUCAGUCUAAUUGCAUGUACCAUUGUGGUCAUAUAUCGGUUGACUUUCAUCAGGGUUUUUUUUUUUUUCAUAAACAUGAAAUGUGUAAUCCUCAAUAGACUAUUUUAGUAGAUCAGUGCACACUUUUUUUGUGGCUGCUAGUUUGCUUAUGUUUUUAUAUCUGCAAACUAAGGCUGUGUGAUUAAUCGAAAUCGUCAUAGAAUCAUGAUUUGAGCUUGCAUGAUUUCUAAAUCGCUUUAUAGCAUGAUUUUCCACGGCCCCGACCUACCGCAGUAUGCUGUCCAAUCAGAAUGCAGUGCGCCUAAAUGGAGCACGAGAACAGAACAGACUGGGCACAUGCCUACGUAACUCCAGGUUCACACACUGUCUGUGAUUCGUAUUUUUUCCGAGCCCAUGUUAACGGAUCAGAGCGUUCACACUGCACGUGGAAAAAGAUGUGAAAGAUGUGAACAGAAAAGGUUAGAAAUAGAAAGGUGCGAAAAUAAUUAAUAUCUAGCACAUGAGCAUAGAGAGAGUUGUGAGUGCACAGUUUGAGCGAGAGGAGAUGUUUUAAAUGCGCACACUCUUUCCGGGUGAGAGCAGCGUGUACCUGAGCAC